rnacentral:tRNA from 1 species
GGCCGCGUGGCCUAAUGGCUAAGGCGUCAGAUUUCGGUUACCCUACAGGUAAAUAUCCGCAUUCUCUGAAGAUUCCAGGUUCGACUCCUGGCGUGGUCG